GUGCCAGCAGCCGCGGUAAUACGGAGGGUGCAAGCGUUAUCCGGAUUUAUUGGGUUUAAAGGGUCCGUAGGCGGAUGCGUAAGUCAGUGGUGAAAUCUCACAGCUCAACUGUGAAACUGCCAUUGAUACUGCGUGUCUUGAGUGAGGUUGAAGUAGCUGGAAUAAGUAGUGUAGCGGUGAAAUGCAUAGAUAUUACUAAGAACACCAAUUGCGAAGGCAGGUUACUAAGUCUCAACUGACGCUGAUGGACGAAAGCGUGGGGAGCGAACAGGAUUAGAUACCCUGGUAGUCCACGCUGUAAACGGUGCUAACUCGUUUUUGGGGAUUUAUCUUCAGAGACUAAGCGAAAGUGAUAAGUUAGCCACCUGGGGAGUACGAACGCAAGUUUGAAACUCAAAGGAAUUGACGGGGGCCCGCACAAGCGGUGGAUUAUGUGGUUUAAUUCGAUGAUACGCGAGGAACCUUACCAAGGCUUAAAUGGGAAUUGAUCGGUUUAGAAAUAGACCUUCCUUCGGGCAAUUUUCAAAGGUGCUGCAUGGUUGUCGUCAGCUCGUGCCGUGAGGUGUUAAGGUUAAGUCCUGCAACGAGCGCAACCCCUGUCACUAGUUGCCAUCAUUCAGUUGGGGACUCUAGUGAGACUGCCUACGCAAGUAGAGAGGAAGGUGGGGAUGACGUCAAAUCAUCACGGCCCUUACGCCUUGGGCCACACACGUAAUACAAUGGCCGGUACAGAGGGCAGCUACACAGCGAUGUGAUGCAAAUCCCGAAAGCCGGUCUCAGUUCGGAUUGGAGUCUGCAACUCGACUCUAUGAAGCUGGAAUCGCUAGUAAUCGCGCAUCAGCCAUGGCGCGGUGAAUACGUUCCCGGGCCUUGUACACACCGCCCGUCAAGCCAUGGAAGUCUGGGGUACCUGAAGUCGGUGACCGUAAAAGGAGCUGCCUAGGGUAAAACAGGUAAGUAGGGUAAGUCGUAACAAGGUAACCAAUGAAUCCCGCGGCCGCCUGGCGGCCCGGAGGCACGGGACUUCA
rnacentral:rRNA from 1 species